rnacentral:snRNA from 1 species
GCAGGAAAAACAACUUGGAAGAAUUAAAAUCUGUAUACCAGAGGAGAUUAGCAUGGCCCCUGCACAAGGAUGGCACACAAAUUUGUGAAGUGUUCCAUGUUUAU